AGAUGAUGAGGAGGCACCAGCAAAAGAGACUGAGAAAGAGUGGGCAGGCAAAUGGAAGAAAGACCGGGUGAGGAAACUGAGCCUGAGACCGAACAAGGGGCUCACCGACCACUAGAGGUGACCAGAAUUAGUGCUCCUGAAGACACUCACUUGCUACUCCAAGACUGGAUGAUCUGUCAGGUUCUCUCUACCCCUGACAGUCUGUGGAUUGGGGAGUUUUCAUGGUUUAAAGCUCAUACCUCUCUACCCAGAGAAGAGUCAACAUCACCAACCUCAGGGCUUCCUUGUGACGUGGACUAUAGGGCAUUCUGAUGACUUUCCUUCAAAUGCACAGUCAUGAAAUCAAACCCUGAAGCCUGCUCUCCAGGCCGGUCCCACAGAUACCAGGAGGCUAGGGCCAUGCCACAGGGGACAGAGGAGCUCUGCUGCACCCACCUUUGCUACAGAGGAGCCCAGCAUCCCCUCAGCUUCCCACUGCAAUUUUUCAUGUCAUUUUUUGAGAAAGGGAAGGUUCCUCAGCAAGGUCUCUUUGUUCGUUAGGAAAUACAACCCACAUUUCUUCUCAGUCUG
rnacentral:lncRNA from 10 species